rnacentral:rRNA from 1 species
UACGUAGGGCGCAAGCGUUGUCCGGAAUUAUUGGGCGUAAAGAGCUCGUAGGCGGUUUGUCGCGUCUGCUGUGAAAUCCUCAGGCUCAACCUGGGGCUUGCAGUGGGUACGGGCAGACUAGAGUGCGGUAGGGGUGACUGGAAUUCCUGGUGUAGCGGUGGAAUGCGCAGAUAUCUGGAGGAACACCGGUGGCGAAGGCGGGUCUCUGGGCCGAUACUGACGCUGAGGAGCGAAAGCGUGGGGAGCGAACAGG